UCGAUAGGCUUGGAGGAACUGAGACAGACAGAUUUGCAUAUUUAGUUUAAUAAUACUUGACUAUAUAUUUUGUCUGUACUUGUAUUUAUCUCCAAACAAUGUCGAAAAUACAAACCAUAGUAUCAUCAAAUAGUUUGAGCUGUAAUACUCACUUUUUUGUUAAGGUAUGUUUGCUAUAACUUUAUAUGGAUAUCUCUGUUUCUACUACAGAUACAUGUAUUCAAAAAAAAAAUAACACGUGUGUUUGUGGUCAUUGAAGGUGGUCCCUGACCAAGGCCUAUAACUUUGACCUGCAAUUUAGCAGAAUUAUGCUUUUAUGCUUUUGUUACUUAGCAAAAGCAAAUUCAGGUUGAUUGUGAGUGCAACAAUACCAUUGACAUUAAAAAAAACUAUAUGUGUUCGAUUGUUUUUAUAAACUGUAUAAACUUUCACAGCUCAAGAACAAUUCCUGUGUUCUGCAAUUUAGCAUCAUUAUGAAAGUCAGGAUUGUGUGCAACAAGUAAAUAUCUCUGUAACUUUUACAGAAUAUUCAACUUGUAUUCAAUUUCAUAAAUUAAGACCACUUUCCAAACCCUAUAACAAGCAAUUGCAAUUUAGCAGGAUGAUUUCAUUUUUAUGCCCCCGGUAGGGUGGCAUAUAGCAGUUGAACUGUCCGUCAGUAUGUCAGUCUGUCCGUCCGUCCGAAAACUUUAAUGAUCAUAACUUUUUCAAUAUUGAAGAUAGCAACUUGAUAUUUGGCAUGCAUGUGCAUCUCAUGGAGCUGCACAUUUUGAGUGGUGAAAGGUGAAGGUCAAGGUCAUCCUCUAAGGUCAAAUGUCAAAUAUAUGGCGUCUGUCCGUCUGUCUGAAAACUUUAACAUUGGCCAUAACUUUUUCAAUAUUGAAGAUAGCAACUUGAUAUUUGGCAUGCAUGUGUAUCUCAUGGACAUUUUGAGUGGUGAAAGGUGAAGGUCAAGGUCAUCCUUCAAGGUCAAAUGUCUAAUAUAUGGCGUCUGUCCAUCCGUCCGAAAACUUUAACAUUGGCCAUAACUUUUUCAAUAUUGAAGAUAGCAACUUGAUAUUUGGCAUGCAUGUGUAUCUCAUGGAGCUGCACAUUUUCAGUGGUGAAAGAUGAAGGUCAUGGUCAUCCUUCAAGGUCAUAUGUCAAAUAUAUGGGGUCUGUCUGUCCGUCCAAAAACUUUUACAUUGGCCAUAACUUGUUCAAUAUUGAAGAUAGCAACUUGAUAUUUGGCAUGCAUGUGUAUCUCAUGGAGCUGCACAUUUUGAAAGGUGAAAGGUCAAGGUCAAGGUCAUCCUUCAAGGUCAAAGGUCAAAUAUAUGGCAUCCAUCCGUCCGAAAACGAACAUUCGCCAUAACUUUUUUAUGCCUCCGAAGGGUGGCAUAUAGUUUUUGAACUGUCUGUCAGUCUGUCCGUCUGUCUGAUUGUCAGUCAGUCUGUCCGUCCGUCAGUCCGUCUGUCCGAAAACUUUAACAUUGCCCAUAACUUUUGCAAUAUUGAAGAUAGCAACUUGAUAUUUGGCAUGCAUGUGUAUCUCAUGGAGCUGCACAUUUUGAGUGGUGAAAGGUCAAGGUCAUCCUUCAAGGUCAAGGUCAAAGGUCAAAUAUUGCAAUAUUGAAAAUAGCAACUCAAUAUUUGGCAUUCAUGCAUUUCUCAUGGAGCUGCACAUUUUGAGUGGUGAUGGGUCAAGGUCAUCCUUCAAGGUCAAGGUCAAAGGUCAAAUUUUGCAAUAUUGAAGAUAGCAACUAGAUAUUUGGCAUGCAUGCGUAUCUCAUGGAGCUGCACAUUUUGAGUGGUGAAAUGUCAAAGUCAAUGACAUCCUUCAAGGUCAAGGUCAAAGGUCAAAAAUUUUCAAUAUUGAAGAUAGCAACUUGAUAUUUGGCAUUCAUGUGUAUCUCAUGGACCUGCAGAUUUUGAGUGGUGAAAGGCCAAGGUCAUCCUUCAAGGUCAAAGGUCAAAUAUUGCAAUAUUGAAGAUAGCAUCUCGAUAUUUGGCAUGCAUGCGUAUCUCAUGGAGCUGCACAUUUUGAGUGGUGAAAGGUCAAGGUCAUCCUUCAAGGUCAAGGUCAAAUUUUGCAAUAUUGAAGAUAGCAACUUGAUAUUUUGCACGCAUGUGUAUCUCAUGGAGCUGCACAUUUUGAGUGGUUAAAGGUCAAGGUCAUCCUUCAGGGUCAAAGGUCAAAUAUAUGGCUUCGAAGCGGCGCAGUAGGGGGCAUUGUGUUUCACGAACACAGCUCUUGUUUUUAAUAAAUUGAAUUUUUAAAUAAAGAUGUGUGUGCAAGAAUACGUAAUUGGUAACUACAACAGAUGAGCACUUGAUGCCUGGUAGGUCAUUGACUAAGGCACAUGAUGCCUGUUGGUAGGUCAUUGACUAAGGCACAUGAUGCCUGUUGGUAGGUCAUUGACUAAGGCACAUGAUGCCUGUUGGUAGGUCAUUGACUAAGGCACAUGAUGCCUGUUGGUAGGUCAUUGACUAAGGCACAUGAUGCCUGUUGGUAGGUCAUUGACUAAGGCACAUGAUGCCUGUUGGUAGGUCAUUGACUAAGGCACAUGAUGCCUGUUGGUAGGUCAUUGACUAAGGCACAUGAUGCCUGUUGGUAGGUCAUUGACUAAGGCACAUGAUGCCUGUUGGUAGGUCAUUGACUAAGGCACAUGAUGCCUGUUGGUAGGUCAUUGACUUAGGCACAUGAUGCCUGUUGGUAGGUCAUUGACUAAGGCACAUGAUGCCUGUUGGUAGGUCAUUGACUAAGGCACAUGAUGCCUGUUGGUAGGUCAUUGACUAAGGCACAUGAUGCCUGUUGUUAGGCCAUUGACUAAGGCACAUGAUGCCUGUUGGUAGGUCAUUGACUAAGGCACUUGAUGCCUGUUGGUAGGUCAUUGACUAAGGCACAUGAUGCCUGUUGGUAAGUCAUUGACUAAGGCACAUGAUGCCUGAUGUUAGGUCAUUGACUAAGGCACACCAGUCUGAGCAGCUAGGAAGCCCAUUUUAUGUUGUAGCAUUCAUUUACAAUAAAUAUAGUGGGCAAUGGCAUUUAUUUAAAAUGUUGUAGGGUCUUAUAUAAAAAUGCACAAACAGAACACAUAAUAACAUUAAAUGUUCAUAAAAAUUGCCAAAUCCAUGUGAUGUCUGUUUAGAUCAUAGAUUUAUUUUUUGUUGGUAUUCAAUGCCUUUAUAAAAUGUGUGAUAACCUGUCAAAACCUUAUCAAGCACUCAUUGACUGCGUAGGUGUAUGCAUGGAUUAAUUGCUGGGCAAAUAUUUGCACAGACAUUGUUGACAUUUCCAUAACACUUGGAUAAACAGAUCAAUUUUUUUUAAAGCUUUAAGCUUCAUUCUAUAGGUUAUCAUAAGAUGGUUAAAGAUUUUGAUUUAACAUUAUAAACUGAAUCAAAUGAAAUGCAAAAUCUUGAAAUUUACAUAGAUUUCAAAACCGGUGUGAAUCAAAGGUUAUUCAUCUUCACUUUCUGAUGUUGUUUUAGGUUUUUAGUUCACGUGAGAAUGAAAAGCUAAAUGUUAGCUAUUGUGUCAGCGUCCAUCUAAAUGCAGUAUGUGGUGUGCGUCGUCAACUUUUAGCUUUUUACCAUUCUAUAGGCCAAAUUUGUAUUCCAAUAUUGACUAAAAUGGGCAAAAAUGUUUAUCUGGACUAUAUGCAGGCCAAGUCACCAUGUCAAAUGUUAGAUAAACCUUUUACCACUCUAUAGUCCAUAGUUUUGACUCAAUCAUGCUAAAACAUUGUCAGAAUAUUUAUCUUGACAUUUUCUAGACCGCAGUUGAACCUCGGUCAGGCCUUUCAAAAAUGUCAGAAUGUUUAUCAUGACAAUUUCUAGACCAAAUUUUGAAUCUGGGUCAAAAACAUUUCAUCACAAAGUCACAAUGUCAAACCUGAAAAAAUUGUUACCACUCUAGGGUCAAAAUUUUGACUCGUUUGAUGAAACUUGCUUAAAGAGUGUUUAUCUUGAAAAUAUAAAAAUCAGGUUUGAAUCUGGGUCAAGUGUGGUAAAAAACUAGAUCAUCUGGUCAAGUUUUCAGCAAUUGGUAUCCAUGCAUUCAUGUGGGCACUUAAUCUUGUUGAUUAUCAAUAACUGGUAGAUGGACAGCUUUAAAUAUGUUUGAGUUCCUUUCUAAUGUGCUUUAUUAGAAAUGACAUCAUGUGUUUCAAGUAAAUUGAAAUAGAUGAUGUCAAAACGUUUAGUAUUUAUAAAAAUUAUCUGAAAUUAUGAUAACAGUAUAUGCAAACAAUAACAGUAAAAGUCGAGGGGUAGAGUAAAUAUUUCACCCCAAGGAGAAUCAUGUAAAGCAAAUUUUCGGUUGGUAAAUGGCACAUGAACC